AUUGAACGCUGGCGGCAGGCUUAACACAUGCAAGUCGAGCGGGGAUAGGGUGCUUGCACCUGAUUCCUAGCGGCGGACGGGUGAGUAAUGCUUAGGAAUCUGCCUAUUAGUGGGGGACAACGUUCCGGAAGGGACGCUAAUACCGCAUACGUCCUACGGGAGAAAGCAGGGGAUCUUCGGACCUUGCGCUAAUAGAUGAGCCUAAGUCGGAUUAGCUAGUUGGUGGGGUAAAGGCCUACCAAGGCGACGAUCUGUAGCGGGUCUGAGAGGAUGAUCCGCCACACUGGGACUGAGACACGGCCCAGACUCCUACGGGAGGCAGCAGUGGGGAAUAUUGGGCAAUGGGGGGAACCCUGAUCCAGCCAUGCCGCGUGUGUGAAGAAGGCCUUUUGGUUGUAAAGCACUUUAAGCGAGGAGGAGGCUUACCUGGUUAAUACCCGGGAUAAGUGGACGUUACUCGCAGAAUAAGCACCGGCUAACUCUGUGCCAGCCGCCGCCGUAA
rnacentral:rRNA from 1 species